rnacentral:rRNA from 1 species
CUCAGAUACUGCGGAGACAUUAACGAAAUAACAAGGAGUUGUUGCAUGCCAAAAUGGUGUCGCACGCUCUGUCCAUUUCAAACCCCUGUGCACCUAUUGUAGGCAUGGUCGUAGGGCUGACUUCGGUCGGUUCGAAAGCCUUGUCUAUGUUUUUAACAAACGCUUCAGUUUAAGAAUGUAACACUUGUGGAUAACACAAUAAAUACAACUUUCAGCAACGGAUCUCUUGGCUCUCGCAUCGAUGAAGAACGCAGCGAAAUGCGAUAAGUAAUGUGAAUUGCAGAAUUCAGUGAAUCAUCGAAUCUUUGAACGCACCUUGCGCUCCUUGGUAUUCCGAGGAGCAUGCCUGUUUGAGUGUCAUGGAAUUCUCAACCUUCGUAACUUUUUUGUGACGAAGGCUUGGACUUGGAGGUCGUGUCGGCUUGCGAAAGUCGACUCCUCUGAAAUGCAUUAGUGCGAACCUUACGGAUCGCUUCGGUGUGAUAAUUAUCUGCGCCGUGGUGUUGAAGUAUAACAGUGUUCGAGCUUCUAACCGUCCGCGAGGACAACUACUUUGACAAUCUGACCUCAAAUCAGGUAGGACUACCCGCUGAACUUAAGCAUAUCAUA